AAGGCGCUUGCCUCUCUUAUGAUGCUCAUCUCUUGGGAGGUUUGGUCGGAGCGCAAUGCUAGAGUCUUCCGCAACUCGGCGGCCCCUUUCAUGGUCAUCAUCAACAAAAUCAAACAGGAGGUGUUACUUUGGGCUAUGGCUGGAGCGAGACAUUUGGGUGUUGUAGUGCCGCGAGAGUAG
rnacentral:rRNA from 1 species